UCCCAAGUGGUCUAGUGGUUAGGAUUCCACGCUCUCACCGUGGCGGCCGGGGUUCGAUCCCCCGCUUGGGAA
rnacentral:tRNA from 1 species